UUUCCCUUUCCCUUUCCCUUUCCUUUUCCCUUUUCCGACUCGUCCUCUCUCUGUCUGUUCAUGCAACUUCUUCGGGGGUACGAUGCAUCGUGGAUCGCGUUAUCACGCGCGCAUCUAACCUCCGAGAAGUGGAAGACUACGCUUUGUCGGCACAGCGUGCCAACUAAGCGACCGAGCAAAGUGAACCCGGAUAGUGUAUGGACGUACGUGUAUACCUCGAAACGUCGCUUUAAGCCGGGGAAUCCAUUUUGUAAUCAAAUGGCUCAUCGUUCGAGCUCGUUCUCGUUGGCGACUGUUGUUUGUCUAUCGUCGAUGUCAAAAAGGGACACUUUCGUCUUCGUGUUUUGCUGCACCACGCCCCCCCCCCCGCAAAAGGGAAAAAAAUAGCGGUGCGUAAACUCGCCUGUCUGACGAAGAAGCCUUGAAACUACGGCAGUGUCAGAAUCAGUUUGCCAAGUUUCCCUACCGACGAGGACAUCGAACUGUUCUUUGAAAAAUGGGAAAACCAUGGGAAUCUUUUGUUUUUUUUUGAACGCGGAGUCAUAAAGCUGCCUGAAAGAUGACGAAAGCAACGCGAUCAAUGGAAAUAAACGAAUCGGCGAGCCGAGAGAGUGCGUUGUCUCACGCGACAAAGCAACGCCGGCCAAGCAACGUUUAUGUCGUCGAAGGAAUCAUAGCAAGUGGCAGUAUACAUACACGUGCAUACGUCUUCCUUUCAACGGGGAAAGGAUGUUUGCUGCGUCUAGCGCGUGCAUGUCCAACCUUUUAGAUCUUCCGGGCCUCGUUGGCCAAUAAAUUAUUAUUUAUCAAUAAAUUAUUAUUCAUUCGCGCGGAUGAUUCGAAACAACUUUUUACAGUAGAACGAUACAUCGAUUAGAAAAAUAUAUUUAUAUUAAUUCUAAAAAUAUUAAAUAUUUAAGAAACAUUACACAAAGCGCACAAAGUGCUGAAUAUUGUUCUUUUUAGGGCAGUUAGCGUUGUUUAUAAAAGAUUGUCUAACAAAUUGCAGCUCGACACAUUCCAUUUGUAUGUUCAUUGGCAACAUAUUCGGACAACAACCGAGAAUGGAGGUAGCAAGUAGGCCAAUCGUCUAAGAUCAAACAUAUUUCGUAGUUGUUCGUAAUUGGUCGCAUUCGUAAUUAAAACGCCUAAAUUAAAGAAAAGGGUACGAUUAUUCGUGGUUGAAAUUAUUCGAGUAAUAAAAAUAAUCCUCAUUCAAUUGUACCAAUUACCGUUUAUAUAGCGGGCGUCACGAGUUGGACACGCCUGGUUUCGACCGUUUCCCUUCCACGCGUGUACGACACUCACGAAUCAAAAUCAGCGUCGUUCGUACGUUAUUUUUCACUCAUCGUCCCAGUUUCAAUUACACCGUUUGCGUACACCGUACGCCUGUUGUGUCCCUAGAACGAGACGUAAAAUUACAUUUUAUCCGGAAAGUAUUGAUUUUAGGUUCAACGUUGGUUAAGCACGUUUUGCUGCUCUCGGUACGAGAGCACCGGUAUGAACACGAAUCCCCGACUCGACCCGGUCGCCUUCGAUACCUUGCCCGAGUGUUUCGACUCGAAUUUUCAAAAGUUUCUUUAAAGAUUGCGAUUGAAACACA